rnacentral:rRNA from 1 species
AGGAUGAACGCUGGCGGCGUGCCUAAAACAUGCAAGUCAUACGGGCUACCUUCGGGUAGCCAGUGGCAAACGGGUGAGUAACACGUGGGAACGCGCCUUGGGGUGGGGAAUAACGCUGAGAAAUCAGUGCUAAUACCGCAUAUGGUCUAACGACUAAAGCAGCAAUGCGCCCCGAGAGCGGCCCGCGACCGAUUAGCUAGUUGGUGGGGUAAUGGCCUACCAAGGCGGUGAUCGGUAGCUGGUCUGAGAGGAUGGUCAGCCACACUGGGACUGCGAACGGCCCAGACUCCUACGGGAGGCAGCAGUUAGGAAUUUUCGGCAAUGGACGAAAGUCUGACCGAGCGACGCCGCGUGGAGGAUGACGCCUUUCGGGGUGUAAACUCCUUUUCUGCGGGAAGAUAAUGACGGUACCGCAGGAAUAAGCGACCGGCUAACUACGCGCCAGCAGCCGC